AUGUCAUAAUGUGGACACUUCCUAAGCAAGUCAUUCAAUCGCUCCCAUGCCUCAUGAAACAUUUUCCCUUCCCUUUGAGAAAAUUCAUGAAUUGAAGUUCUCACUGU